GCGGCGCGCUUAACACAUGCAAGUCGUGCGAGAAAGGGCUUCGGCCCCGGUACAGCGGCGCACGGGUGAGUAACACGUAGGUAAUCUACCCCAGGUGGAGGAUAACCUUCCGAAAGGAGGGCUAAUACUGCAUGAGACCACGACCUCGACAGAGGAUGGGGUCAAAGCCGGCCUCUCUACAGAAGCUGGCGCCAGGGGAUGAGCCUGCGGCCCAUCAGCUAGUUGGCAGGGUAAUGGCCUACCAAGGCGAAGACGGGUAGCUGGUCUGAGAGGAUGAUCAGCCACACUGGAACUGAGACACGGUCCAGACUCCUACGGGAGGCAGCAGUGGGGAAUCUUGCGCAAUGGGCGAAAGCCUGACGCAGCGACGCCGCGUGAGUGAUGAAGGCCUUCGGGUUGUAAAGCUCUGUGGAGGGGGACGAAUAAGUGUUGGCUAACAUCCAGCAUGAUGACGGUACCCCUUUAGCAAGCACCGGCUAACUCUGUGCCAGCAGCCGCGGUAA
rnacentral:rRNA from 1 species